UUGGAGGGCAAGUCUGGUGCCAGCAGCCGCGGUAAUUCCAGCUCCAAUAGCGUAUAUUAAAGUUGUUGUGGUUAAAAAGCUCGUAGUUGAACCUUGGGCCUGGCUGGCCGGUCCGCCUCACCGCGUGUACUGGUCCGGCCGGGCCUUUCCCUCUGUGGAACCCCAUGCCCUUCACUGGGUGUGGCGGGGAAACAGGACUUUUACUUUGAAAAAAUUAGAGUGCUCCAGGCAGGCCUAUGCUCGAAUACAUUAGCAUGGAAUAAUAGAAUAGGACGUGUGGUUCUAUUUUGUUGGUUUCUAGGACCGCCGUAAUGAUUAAUAGGGACAGUCGGGGGCAUCAGUAUUCAAUUGUCAGAGGUGAAAUUCUUGGAUUUAUUGAAGACUAACUACUGCGAAAGCAUUUGCCAAGGAUGUUUUCAUUAAUCAGGAACGAAAGUUAGGGGAUCGAAGACGAUCAGAUACCGUCGUAGUCUUAACCAUAAACUAUGCCGACUAGGGAUCGGACGAUGUUAUUUUUUGACUCGUUCGGCACCUUACGGGAAC
rnacentral:rRNA from 1 species